CCAACACUGAGCAGGUAUUUAACCGAAGAGCGCCCUGCAAUAAUAGUUCAUUUUCUGACCCUGUGUAGUGGAAUAACCCUGUGGCAGAUUGUACCAUUUUAGUUUAGUUUGUCCGUAGCGGAGCCUGUUCCUGAAGUUAUAUUUAAUCAAAUGUAGGUGUAAAGACUAAUGUUUCAGCUCAGAGGAUCUGAUUACACGGUUCAUAUUCAAAGGCACGCUGGUCAGGAGAUCAGUGUUAGCUAUCAGUGUAUGUUUUACAUGGGGGCCACUUAACAGGUUCAUGCAUCAGAGAAGUCACUGCAUCCAAUCACUGCAGCACCUUUACUGAAAAAACCAUAAAGAUUUUUAUGUUUAAAAAGCAAUGCAUUCAUUCUGACUUUGUUUUGCAUAGCAUUCAGAUGAGUCUUGUUUACAGAACUAAUGCUGGAUCGAUGCAGACUGUAGACUGGAUUUAUUGUUCUUCUGUCAGGAUGUCUUAGGAGUAAUAAACUUUUAACAAAAAAAACCCAAAACAAUAAAUGUUUCAUGUCCAAAUGUUUCACGAUGAUUUCAGCUUCAGCCAAAACUGACAAACGAUACGAGCGUUAGAAUUUUCAUGAUUCUGUCUCAUCUUCAAAGUGUUGGCAUUAACUUUAAUCCAAGUAUCAGUCCUCACCUUCCUUCUUGCAAGAUUAAAAAUGUAUAACCGAUAAGGAAGUUCAUGUCGACAGUGCAACGAUUUAAGCGAGCAGUUACAGAUAUAAGGCCAUACAGAUUCAUAUAGAUAGGUGACCAUAGCCAGUGAGUAUUUUGCACAACCUGACAAGGGAGGGAUGGAUCUGACUAUGAAACUGAGGGAUGGGUCGUAAGGAAGGCCCGUUUGCAUAAGCAAAGCAUACCCUGCUUUAAGUCCAGUUAACUCUAAAUGAACCGUAGUUUACAAAAUAAAAUUUGUGCUGAAUUAGGUCAGACUAGAAACUAUUGAAUAAGACUAUAAACUACCUGGGAAAGUCUUUACUUCACAAAUGAAGUUAGCUGAAGAGAGAUUCUCAUAGACUUCUGUACAAUCAGACUUUUUGCCACUAAUGGAGUUUCCUCUGGGAAAUGGGAGGUUUGAGGUACUUUUGUGUUCUGUGCCUCAUUUUUCAGACACAGAGACUCUUUCUGUCUUUUCUACAGUCUGUGGAUGGUAGCGGACGGUGCAGCCUUUUGACUAACUAACUCAAGUGAUGCUGAUAGUGGCUAUCAUGUUAGUAGUAGCAAGAGCCGCUUUGCCCCCAUGCUUCCUGCACCAUUCAUUUUAACAUGACUCAAUAAACUUCUGAUGUGUCUGUUUUCAGAGUUCUUGUCUAAUGUAUAAAGGUGGUAAAGCAUAAUUUAAUGUCUUUUUUUUUUUUUACUGUUUAGGUCACUCAGUUAAUGUCAGUGUGUAUUAUUUGUAUGCAGUACACAUUUGCAGUAUUUUAAAUCCUCCCUGAGAACAAAUCGUAUAAAAUUAAAAAUGGCGCGAACGGAGAAAGACCAAACAUGUAGAUUUUUGAGUACAUUUUUCUGUGUUUUGUUGUUGUUGCAGUAGCAAGAGGAAAGAUGGACAGAAGGAAACCACUAAACUCAAUCUCCCAGAGUCCUUUGCUACAGUGAGCCUGUGUAUUUUGUUUUGGUUCCAUUUGAGAAAUCUUUUAGUUUGAUAGUGUACAGUAUAAUUGGUCUAUAAUAUCUCAGUGUGUGAAUGCAGAUUAGGUGUGGUAAUUUUUAUUAAUAAUUAAUUGUCUAUCUGAAUUUAUAGCUAUUUCUGUUUGUUUUCCCUUUUUUUUUUUUUUACACAGGAAUUCAGCAUUUAUGGACAUUUUUCUGAACAAGAUGUUCUGUUUUGUUUCCCUGUUGUGUUCACAGUAAUUUCUCAUCCACACUGUUUAAUCUUUGCUCCCAUCUUCAGUAUGUUUCAGACACAUAUUGUACAUAGGCUAGUAGCUGUUUAUAUUAAUAUGUAGGGAGGAGGAAGCUUGGUGUUCUCUGGUCCCAAGUGGUUUUCACUCUGUACUUUAUCUCACUUUGGUUUGUUUUCCUAUAAUAAACAGUAAAUGUGUCAAAGAUGGGGUUUUUUCUUUUGUCUUUGUUUGUUUGUUUGUUUGUUUGUUUGUUUGUUUUUUUCAUGAGUAGAGAAAACACUGCAAAUUGAAAUCUAAGCUUUUCAACAGUUGACGUUACAGUUUUCAGUCUAGACCACAUCGAUGUUCUGUACAGCAGGGGGCAGCAGAGAGAUUUAAAAC
ensembl:lncRNA